rnacentral:rRNA from 1 species
GACGAACGCUGGCGGCGUGCUUAACACAUGCAAGUCGAACGGAAAGGCCCUGCUUUUGUGGGGUGCUCGAGUGGCGAACGGGUGAGUAACACGUGAGUAACCUGCCCUUGACUUUGGGAUAACUUCAGGCAACUGGGGCUAAUACCGGCUAGGAGCUCCUGCUGCAUGGUGGGGGUUGGACAGUUUCGGCGGUUGGGGAUGGACUCGCGGCUUAUCAGCUUGUUGGUGGGGUAGUGGCUUACCAAGGCUUUGGCGGGUAGCCGGCCUGAGAGGGUGACCGGCGACAUUGGGACUGAGAUACGGCCCAGACUCCUACGGGAGGCAGCAGUGGGGAAUAUUGCACAAUGGGCGGAAGCCUGAUGCAGCAACGCCGCGUGCGGGAUGACGGCCUUCGGGUUGUAAACCGCUUUCGCCUGUGACGAAGCGUGAGUGACGGUAAUGGGUAAAGAAGCACCGGCUAACUACGUG